GACGAAGGGGGCUAGGCGUUGUUCGGAAUUACUGGGCGUAAAGCGUGUGUAGGUGGUUGCCAUAGUCAGGUGUGAAAGCCUUGAGCUCAACUCCAGAACUGCCUUUGAUACUGGCAACCUAGAGACUGGAAGAGGUUAGUGGAAUUCCCAGUGUAGAGGUGAAAUUCGUAGAUAUUGGGAAGAACACCAGUGGCGAAGGCGGCUAACUGGUCCAGCACUGACGCUGAGGAGCGAAAGCGUGGGAGCGAACAGG
rnacentral:rRNA from 1 species